AGGAGUCGGGAUCGUGCUCCAACAAAAAUUUCAUCUCGAAAUUUUCUGUAAAAGAUUUUCUAACUUUAAGGUUUCAUAAUCAUGAUUUCAUUCUCAAGUUUUAAUAUAUUUAUUCUACUUACAGAUUUAUUUUCAUUAUUAAAUCUUAUCAUAAGAAUAAGGUUUCAUACCUCAUGACUUGAUUCUUUAUUACAGAUGAUCUAAAUUGAACCCACCUCU
rnacentral:lncRNA from 1 species